rnacentral:rRNA from 1 species
AUUGAACGCUGGCGGCAGGCCUAACACAUGCAAGUCGAACGAGUGGCGGACGGGUGAGCAAUGUCUGGGAAACUGCCUGAUGGAGGGGGAUAACUACCGGAAACGGUAGCUAAUACCGCAUACCCUCAGAUGUGCCCAGAUGGGAUUAGCUAGUUGGUGGGGUAACGGCGCACCAAGGCGACGAUCCCUAGCUGGUCUGAGAGGAUGACCAGCAACACUGGAACUGAGACACGGUCCAGACUCCUACGUGAGGCAGCAGUGGGGAAUAUUGGACAAUGGGCGAAAGCCUGAACCAGCCAUGACGCGUGUGUGAAGAAGGUGUUCGGAUUGUAAAGCACUUUCAGUGGGGAGGCGUUACCAACAGAAUAAGCACCGGCUAACUCCGUGCCAGCAGCCGCGGUAAUAC